AUGAUUAUGCAUCUUUUUAUUAUUUGAGUAAAGUAUAAAUGCAAGUAGAAACACUUAGCUAGAUAAAUGGGGGUGCUCUCCCCCAAGGUGGAUUUUGACGUAAUUUCUUCUGAUGUAGCUAGCAGAUGGUGGAGGUGUAUUUGAAUGUCGGCAGCAUCCUGACAGCGAUUAGGAUAUCCUCCGUCUGCUAGUCUUCUUUGAUCCUUGAAUUCUGUGGAGCUCAAAUAGACAACAAAGCUUUGUGGAACUGGUUAAGUGUUAGCAUAAAUAUCUAGCCUUUAUCAUGUUGAGCCUCGUCAAUAAAUAUUACUUAUUUAGCAGGACCAUGCACUUAUUAUUUUUAUAUUUUUAUUGUAAGAUGAAAAGAUAUUUAUUUUAUGCCACCACAGUGAAUGUACCUAUGGGUUUUAUGCCAUGAGCAUACUCACAUGGGGCUUACUAUUUUUAUUUUCUUUCUGAGAUGAUAUGAACCUGAUUAACUAAGCAAACUAUAAUUGAAUAAUUGAAAGGAAAAGGAUAACUACCAAGUUUACCUCUUGGCAAGGCGUUCGGUGUUUUUAAGUCCUCCGAACGGGACUUCUUGUGUUUUUAGUCGUCCUGAGAUUCGCUAGGUGGCGUAGUCGGUGGUUCCGGCGGCGCCUCUCUUCGUGUAUAACUAUCUUCUCUUUCCACAUCUGACUCGGUGCUACGGUCUCCUCAGGACAGUUCUGUUCAAGCUAUAUGUCUUCAGACCUUAUCACUUCUCCUUCAUAGUCUACCCAUCCAUCCUUGAUGAUUUGCCUCCUCUGGUUGCGGUUGCGUUGUCUUCUUCUUGUCCUGACCUGCUUAGAAUCUUCAACUAUAUAGUUAGAAUCAUUAAAGUAGUGGCGUACCUUCUCAGAGGGGAAGUGCAUGUGGACUUCUCCGGUUCCAAUAUAGAUGAUGGCUUUGAUAGUGUUUGAGGAACGGUCGUCCAAGGAUGGUAGGUAGAUCGUACUCGUCUUCUCUCAUGUCAAUGACCUGAAAAUCAUCUGGAGCUGAAUAUAUAUUGGUUGUAGGGGCAUGGUUCCAUGCAGGAGCUGAUAAGUGACUGCGGCCAUUAUGUUGUCGUCAGAUCCGGUGUCGUAGAGUGUCUUCUAAAAAGAGUAUCUGUUGAUUGUGCACUCAAUGCUUGGAACAUCAGGGUUGUCUUUCUUAAUCAAGAAAGGUGACUUGAGUCGACGAUCUUGACCUCCUUGAGCUGCAGUGACCGUCUUAGCUGACUCGGUUCACAUUUGCUUGUUCCUGUUCCUCCUGUUGGUCCUCUUCCUUGGUUCAUGUCAGUAUUGCUCUGAAGUUUGUGUAGUAUUGUUCUUGAAGGAAAGUCUCCUUCUUCCCCUUGAUGUAGAGACUGAUCUUGGCAGUAUUAGUGUAGAUGACAGCUCUGGUAUUUAGGAAUGGCCUCCCUAAGAUGAUGGGUGCCCUGUCCUCAAUACCAGCCUCUAUCACCAUGAAGUUUGCUGGAGCGUACAAGGUACCAACUCGGACACAGAGGUUCUUCAAUAUUUCCUUUGGGAAACUAAGUGUCUGAUCACCAUUGUGUUUGUGCUCGUAGAUCCCGGUUCUUCACUUGGUGGAAUCUGGGAGUUGUAAAACUCCUCCAUGUUUUGUUUGAAGUGUACCUAUUCAUAGAGACAAGGCAGAGAUCAAGUGCAUGGGCCCUGUUGGUGGAAAACACCAACAGAACCAAAAGUGUAUUUGUUCUUCUCUAACCUUAAGCAUAGUGAGCAAGACAAAGUUGAUGGAUCAUGAGUGUAGCAUUUAAAACAUUUGUUAGAUUAGAUGGCUCAACCUAAUGGAAAGAUAAUCUAUCUAUAUUUAUGUUUUGUUUAUAUCUUCCAAAGAUUGAAUGUGCAAUAUUUUAGCUUAUAUGAUUAGGAGUGUGGGAUCACGAAGGUAGUACUAAGAACAAAGAUUAAAGGACUAAACAUGUUUAAUUAAUUGGGUUGAUUAAUUUGGAGCUACAAAUCAUACAUGUUUGUCUCUUUAUUUUAUGUGAACGCUAGAACCAAGGAGAAGCUUAUAAAAGUGAUAGUCAAGUACCUUAAAAUGUUACCUUACUUGAAGAGUGACGGUACAGUAUCACCUUGUGGAAGCUUUCCUUUCUUAGCGGUUGUGCAUCGUGUUUGUGGCACCCUCCAUGGAUCAUCUCUUUAUGAUGAAUGAGCUAUGUCUUCCUUGUGCAAGUCAUUAAAUUUCAUGUGUCUCCUUUAUCUCCAAUGUGAGUUUGUUUCUCAGGACUUCCCAGGUUGAAAGUUUUCCUGCAGGGGUUAGUCCAACAAAAUAUCCCAUAUCUACUAUAGCAUACUAUCGGCUCAAAAAUCAACCUAGACACCAUGUCUAAUUUGAUUUAGAAGGGCAUUUUAACCUAAGCACCAUGCUUAAUUUAAAAUCCCUUGGAAGUAAGAUCAUCAUUCCUAAACUAAGCACCAUGCUUAAUUAAGAGAUAAAUGAAACUAUUCCAAACCUAGACAUAUACUAAAGCAAAUAAAGGUAGCAUGAGAGCAUUUAUAGAGAUCUACUUAAGUGGAGAUGAAGUAGUGUAAUUAGUAUUUAACAAAUUGAGCAUGUCUCAAAGGUAAGGACAACCAACGUAGCAACAUGGCAAAAGAUGUUAUUAUGUAAAGUACUCCCCCAAGCUUGAAUUUUACAAAAUUCAAGUUUGGAUGAAUUUAAUUCAAUGUUGCAUGAUGAUUGGUGGGACAUACCUUGUGCUUGUCAUUCAUCCGAUCUUCUUGCUCCAACCCUAGAAAGGUUAGUGGCAAGAAUACCCGAAGGAAUAUUUCUACAAUUAUCUUUAUAUGCUCAAUACACAAGGCAAUGUUGCAAAUAAUUAGAAGUUCAUGUUACGAUCUGAUCAGUGCGAAUUAAGCAAUGGUUUAGGACACUAAGCAAAUAAUUAAGCAAAUAAUUAGAAGUGCUUGUUUUAGGACACUAAGCUUGUCCUUGGGAAACCAUCAAUCAACUCAACGAGAUCUGCAAUAUUUAUUAUAGACAUAUGCAUCGACAACUGCUCUUUUAAAGUUGUUAUAAAUAGAAAAGAAGAGAGGGUUGGAGAUCUCAAAUGUGGUAAGGAUGGAGAGACCAAUUGAUUGGGGAGAUGUUUUAUAUGAGCAAGGACUUGGUAAGAUAUUUAUGAAAUAACUUCCAUGCUCACUGUUGUUUCUCCCAUUCUCAAACUCCAAGGUUGAUUCUUCAUGAAUGCUUAAAAUUCCUCUAGGAUUGUCUCUCAAGUUUGUUUUAUCCAUCCAUUCAAUGGUGAUAGCACAUGGAUUUUUAAUGCCCUCUAGCCAUCGAUGUUGCUCUUCUCGAUCCUCCUUCUUAUGCAUGGGAUGUCUAGAUAGAUUUAUAGGAUUAUCGGGAGGUUCAAGAGAAAUAGCAUAGUAGAGAUUAUUAAACUCAAGGAUGGGUUGGAUAGCCGAAUUAUGGGAUUGAAAUGUUUGGAAAUUGGCUAUUGAAACUUCCUUUCCUCGUCUGGGAGAUGAUUCCUUCUCUAUUUCUAAGAUUUUUCUAUGAAGACUAGUACAAGAAGGAUGUCCACGAAUGAAGACAUACCUUCCUUUACUAAUAGAUAAAGAAAGAAGGACUCUACCAAAGGUUAUAUGAUUAAGACCAAUGUGAAAAUAUUUAGGAAAAACAUGGUCUUGUAGGGCUAGGUCUAAACCAGAAUUUAUAAAAAUAUUUACAGAUUCCCUAGGUGUAGCUAAAAGUGCAUUAUCUUCUUGAUUAAAAGAUAGGACCUCAGCUAUAGAAAAGGGUUGGUUUUGACCUAUUGCAAUCAACUCCAGACACAGAUCAUAAUUAGGGGCAGGACGUGUUGACUCCCAUGGUCUAUGGCUGGUUUCCGAAGGUGCAAAGAAUUCAAUAAUAGGUAUGAAAUUUAAGUUAUCCAUAAAGAUAAAAAUAAAAAGAUAAAAGAAUAAAAGUAUAAAAGUAUAAUACAAGAUAAUAGCAAGACUCAAACUUAUCUCAGCAAACCGUCUUUCUCCCCGGCAACGGUGCCAGAAAUGGUUGUUGAUAUUUGGUAACGCAAUAAGGAAAUGAUCCGCAAGCGCACGGAUAUCGGUGAGCAUUUCACCCGGGAGGUUAUCCAGAGUUAUCGUAUUUAUAUUUUUACCACUGGGAGAAAGGGUGCAUCUGACUAACCAAAUCUAUUGCUAUUACCCCUUUAGGCAACAAAGAAUGUUUCUCGAUGUGAGUGAUGUAUAGAGAAGACUGCAACCAUAGUCUCGUUCUAGCCUUGGUAAGGAUGAUCUACUGUUCUAUUGGGGAGGCUCACGGAAUCUAGACAACACAAAGGAUGUUUGACCCGCACCUAUAAACCCUACCCGUCCUGCUAACAAGAUAUGGGAUACAAAGGUAACUCGGAAAUGUCACGUUCCUCGCUACUACCACGGUCCAGCUAGUCAGGGGAUAUCUAUGAGUACCCUAGCCUAAACACCACGUUUACGCUAGCAAGUGAUUACUCUAAUACUCAACCGGAAGAGGAUUAAAGUAAACUCAUAAACCAAAGAACAAUAAAACAAGAACUUACUAGUAAUUAGAAGUCGAAUUACUGAAGAAUCUUAGAAGCAAGCCUCGGGUUAGGAGACUUGAUCCCGUAGGUACAACUCGGAGUAGACACCGACAGGCCGGCCUUCCUCCGAUCCACACCUCCACUCUAUCUCUCUCAAUCUAGUAGAAACUAGAAGAUCUAUUUCUACUUUACAUUGGUUGCUAAGCCUAAAAAGAAAUAUUAUUUAGAGAAGAGGUUUUCCUACGAGGGCACCCCUCAAUCUCUAUGAUAAUUUCUUGUCUUCUCCAGGGGCCAGGGGGGUCUCCUUAUAUAGUCCUCCUCCUCUAUGCAUUUUUGGGUCGGUAGGCGAGGUGGUACUACAUUAUCUUUGAUCUAUUAGGUCGGUGGAACGUCGUGUGCGAAGAGAGUCCCGAAAGGCUUCCAGAGGUGGGCGGGCGCCCAGGUCACCAGGGCGGGCGCCCUGGGCCUGGCCCCUUUCGGCCUCCGCUUCCUUCCCGUGGCUUCUGGAGUCUUCUAGAUGGUAGAAAAUUGCGCGGUGCGUUGAUAUCUCUAUGUAAUCCUGACAUGUGGGCCUUUCUUCCUUAUUUCCUGAUAACCCCCUGCAGAAAUAGACAAACACCAAAACUCAUGUAAUUCUGUCAGAUAAAACCCUAAGUCUAGAUGUUGAUUUCAUUUGGAUCCUUUUCUUUGUUUAUUUGAUAAUUAAAUUUGAUACUUAAGAACCGUCAACAAACUCCCCCAAGCUUACCUCUUGCUCGUCCCUGAGCAAGGAUGAACUCAAGAGUUUCUGCAGUGGUUUCAUGCCUUAAAAGUACACACGCAUUCAAGCAAGAUCUCAUCUCUGAGUUGGAAUAAACUGUUAAGACUUAAAACUUACUCAUUUUACCUUUCACCAUGGGGCUUGUAACCGUCACUUGUGUCUUGAGCAGUUAAAAGAUAGAACGGUCAAGUCAAGCGCCAUGUCUCUUAUUCUUGAUCAGCUAUAGCUCUGGAGUUUUUGUAGAUUUUCAAAUAAAACUCAGAGAUUCCUUUAUAUGACUCUCUCAAAUCUCUCUUUUGUGGUAUUUCUGGAUCCUUACCAAGGCAGUAAUGGUAUAUGCCUUCUCUCAAAGUAUGUAGUAUUUGUGGUAUGAGGCAUAGUGAUAUUGCCUUCUCUCUCACCCUACUCUAAUAAGGUUCUGAUAUCUGGAGCUCAUAGGUGGGAGACAGCUAAUACAUACUUACAAGACAUUUAUUGCAUAGUCAAACCAUGGAUCCAGAGAAACAAGUCAAUAAGUCAAAUCAAGAUGUGCAUGUGUGGCGAAUGAAUGAUGUAUGGUGAUGAUGGUGAUAAUAAUGGUGAAAGUUUGCUCUUUUGAGGGGAUACAUACCUUUCUUGCACUUUGAAGCUUUUUGGGGAGAAUGAGAUGCUCUAUAUUUUCUUUUUGUUUUCUCUCAGGUGGGUAUCUUGUACCCCUAAUUCUACCGUCGGACACUUGUCCAUUUUUACCUCUCGUCUCACUUUUUCUUUUCUUCGAGGUUCCGGGCACUUGCCCCUUUUUAUUUCCUCGUAUUAUUUUUUUACUCUUUUUUUAGAGCACUCAUCUCCUUAAAUAAUAUAGCAAGUGGUAGUAACCAAGAUAACUCGAGCAUUUAUUUCACAGGAAAAAACAGGGAUAGAAAAAUAUUUUUGGCUAUUCUCUCCCAGAUAGGAGUAGAAUAAUUUUUGGGUGAAUCUGGAGAUGGAAAUGAGUGGAUAUAUGUGGAUGGUACUUCCGGAGUAGAAGUAGCAUGUAUGAGUGAACGUGCAAGUGAAUCUUGAUUUUAACCACAUGACAAACUCCUAAGGGUCUACACAGCUUGACCACACUCAAUGCUCAUAAGCCGUAAAAAGUAAAUAUGUGGCUCAAAGUCUAGCAAGCAUGUAUAUAUGGCUGUGGUAGGAAUUUAAACUCUCAUCAUAUAGGAACUCAUCAUGUGUUAUUUUAAAGAUUUUUCAAAGAUAAAAUUCUCCAGAAUUCUAGCAUCUAUAGGAACAGAUAAACAGCAGCUCAACCUUCUCAUAUCAUAUCCGUUAACGACUUAGACUUUAGAUCAAGUACUCUUCCCACAAGUUUAGGUUUAAAUUAUAACAGUUAUGCCUAAACUUGAGAGAGAUUUCAAUUUUAAGAACUAGUCAUGGCAGAGCAACUAUUCAUCAUUUCCAUGUGAGAGCUUAUCAUGAGGGUUCAUAGCAAACUUUAUUUAUUUAUUAUUUAGCAAACUAAGCAAAGAUAUAUAUAAAAGCACAAAAACUUUAUUUGGGUUUUAUGAUUAUGCAUCUUUUUAUUAUUUGUGUAAAGUAUAAACGCAAGUAGAAACACUUAGCUAGAUAAAUGGGGGUGCUCUCCCCCAAGCUGGAUUUUGACGUAAUUUCUUCUGAUGUAGCUAGCAGAUGGUGGAGGUGUAUUUGAAUGUCGGCAGCACCCUGACAACGAUUAGGAUAUCCUCCGUCUGCUAGUCUUCUUUGAUCCUUGAAUUCUGUGGAGCUCAAAUAGACAACAAAGCUUUGUAGAACUGGUUAAGUGUUAGCAUAAAUAUCUAGCCUUUAUCAUGUUGAGCCUCCUCAAUAAAUAUUACUUAUUUAGCAGGAUCAUGCACUUAUUAUUUUUAUAUUUUUAUUUUAAGAUGAAAAGAUAUUUAUUUUAUGCCACCACAGUGAAUGUACCUAUGGGUUUUAUGCCAUGAGCAUACUCACAUGGGGCUUACUAUUUUUAUUUUCUUUCUGAGAUGAUAUGAACCUGAUUAACUAAGCAAACUAUAAUUGAAUAAUUGAAAGGAAAAGGAUAACUACCAAGUUUACCUCUUGGCAAGGCGUUCGGUGUUUUUAAGUCCUCCGAACGGGACUUCUUGUGUUUUUAGUCGUCCUGGGAUUCGCUAGGUGGCGUAGUCGGUGGUUCCGGCGGCGCCUCUCUUCGUGUAUAACUAUCUUCUCUUUCCACAUCUGACUCGGUGCUACGGUCUCCUCAGGACAGUUCUGUUCAAGCUAUAUGUCUUCAGACCUUAUCACUUCUCCUUCAUAGUCUACCCAUCCGUCCUUGAUGAUUUGCCUCCUCUGGUUGCGGUUGCGUUGUCUUCUUCUUGUCCUGACCUGCUUAGAAUCUUCAACUAUAUAGUUAGAAUCAUUAAAGUAGUGGCGUACCUUCUCAGAGGAAGUGCAUGUGGACUUCUCCGGUUCCAAUAUAGAUGAUGGCUUUGAUAGUGUUUGAGGAACGGUCGUCCAAGGAUGGUAGGUAGAUCGUACUCGUCUUCUCUCAUGUCAAUGACCUGAAAAUCAUCUGGAGCUGAAUAUAUAUUGGUUGUAGGGGCAUGGUUCCAUGCAGGAGCUGAUAAGUGACUGCGGCCAUUAUGUUGUCGUCAGAUCCGGUGUCGUAGAGUGUCUUCUAAAAAGAGUAUCUGUUGAUUGUGCACUCAAUGCUUGGAACAUCAGGGUUGUCCUUCUUAAUCAAGAAAGGUGACUUGAGUCGACGAUCUUGACCUCCUUGAGCUGCAGUGACCAUCUUAGCUGACUCGGUUCAUAUUUGCUUGUUCCUGUUCCUCCUGUUGGUCCUCUUCCUUGGUUCAUGUCAGUAUUGCUCUAAAGUUUGUGUAGUCUUGUUCUUGAAGGAAAGUCUCCUUCUACCCCUUGAUGU
rnacentral:lncRNA from 1 species